GCCCUUGUAGAUGAAUUGGUACACCAUCCAUUCCUUGUGUAAAGCAAAGCGGGUAAAUGGAAGGCGGAGGUUCGACUCCUCCCUGGGGCA